UACGGAGGAUGCGAGCGUUAUCCGGAUUUAUUGGGUUUAAAGGGUGCGUAGGCGGACUGUCAAGUCAGCGGUAAAAUUGAGAGGCUCAACCUCUUCCCGCCGUUGAAACUGGUGGUCUUGAGUGGAAGAGAAGUACGCGGAAUGCGUGGUGUAGCGGUGAAAUGCAUAGAUAUCACGCAGAACUCCGAUUGCGAAGGCAGCGUACCGGCAUCCAACUGACGCUGAGGCACGAAAGCGUGGGGAUCAAACAGG
rnacentral:rRNA from 1 species